rnacentral:misc_RNA from 1 species
UACCAGAGACUCGAAUGACCCGUGUUUGAACGUUUUCGCGUUGAAACCACGUUAAAACAGUAUCUCUCAGUCGAUAUAAAAACCAAAACCAAAGUACCUGGUGCGUUUCAGGUUGACGGUUUGACGGUGAAACGUUCAUCUUCAUCUCUGCAACACGUUUGCACAUAAUUCGGAAAAUAAUUAUUCGUCACAUGUGUGUUGAUACACACAUGUCCCUCUAUCAUUGAAUAUAAUACGUAUACAAGUACGUGUAAAAACUCAGCAACAUACGCUCGUGCUGAAUUACGCUAGCAGCAGUAAAAGAAUUGUAGAAAAAGAAAUAAUAAUAACAAUAGAAAAAAGAAGAAGAAGAAGAAGAAGAAACAACAACAACAACAACAACAACACAACGACAACGCAAAGACAACCUCAAGACCGGACAAACAAAUUGCAAGAAACUCGACUCGUGCAGGAAGGAAGUCAAAAACAUUCAACACGUGCACAUUGCGUCGUUAAGGGAGCACAAUCAAAGGACAAGAAGAAGAAGACGAAGAGAAGAAGGAAAAAACGUAAGAAAGAACAGAACAAUCGCUACCAAUUGCUACCGUCGUCGUGAAACAAAGAGAAUCAGUAGUGAGUCGUCCCAUCUUAGUGAGACUAUACACAAGACGAGAUUUCAAGAUUGCAUUUUUUUUUUUUCUCCUCACUUCGCUUCUCGUGAAGGAGAAAAAGACGUAAAAAAAACACAAUAAUAAUAGUAAUAAGAAUAAAAAUUCGCACAAAUUUAUAAAGAGACUGGGUUGUAUAAACGACAAAUGGAUAAAAAAAAUCGUCGCUAAUUUAGAGAGAUAAGUUAUCUCUGCAGUAUAAUAACGCGUAUUAUUAUACCUUCGCAUACAUACAUAUAUAUAUAUAUAAUACAUAUAUAAGUUUCUGUGUCAUUCGUUGAUUGACAAACGUGCGGCUCGCUACUCGUCUCGCUGAUGUGAAAAAGGAAAGGGAAAAAAAAAAAAAUAGAUAAACCAAAAUCGAAGAAGUACGACAAAGUGGCAAACAAAAUUUGAUCAAAGAGUAAAAGAAAAAGGAGAAGUUUCUAAUAAAAAAAAAAAAAAAAAUAAUAAAUAAAACGACAAUAUUUUCUCAAUCGACGUAAAAAUCCGCGAGUUCCUCGAAUAUUUUCAAUAUUGUUACACACACGCGAGUGCAAUUAAAUUCAUGUUAAAAACAUUUUUGAACGCAUAAAAAAAAAAAAAAAAAAUUAGCGUCGAAACAAAUUAAUACACGCAUACAUACACAUGCAUACAUACACGUAUAAUAUUGUAAUAAAUACAAAUUAGACACGUCUUAUUUCUCGUCUCGCUGUGCUGCCAUCGUCAUCGUCGUCGUCGUCGUCCGUCGUUUUAGGCAUUAACGCUAAGUGAUAUAAAUUGAAAAAAUAAGAGUCAAAUAGCAAGCAAGCGUAGCAAACUCCGUGAGCCGUCGCCGCGGAUUGGAUUUUCGAAAGGAGUUGCCCGAUUGGACGAGCCGUCGAAAGGAGAAUAACGCCGAUUGGUCGACGGUAAAAGUAGCCGAUGCUGCGCGGCAAGAGAUUCCCGAGCGACUCUCUCAUCAUAUUCCGUCUCUGAUCUAGUACAUCGUCGUCGUCCUCCUCCUCCUUUUGCAUCGUCGUGUUGCCGGUUUACACACAGAGAGAGAAAGAGAGAGGGAGAAAGAGAGAAAGAGAGAGAUUAACUUGCAUUAAAUAGUUGUAAUAAAAAGUAAAUUUUGAAAUAAAAAAAAAAAAAAAUUCCACGUAUUAUUUCGGGAUUGAAAUUCGUUUCACGCAAACGUUAAGAGACGUCGAGUAAGAAGAGAAUGUAACAACGAUUGGAAAUAAAUCGGAUAGGAUCCAAGGAUAAAAAUAAAAGAAAGAAACGCGACCGCGAAGCGUGGAGCAAAAAUUUCACCGUCAGAAUUCAGAGGGAAUUUAUAAACAGCAGGAAAAAAGGCUGAAAAGCGCGUUGUGCAAUCCGCGUUCUAGCUGAAAAACUAAAUUCAUCAUUAUCCAAUCGCCAUGGAGCUGAAAAUUCUGAAAAUGUGGUGACAGGAGAAAGGCGAAGGCCUCAAGUGAUCCAGACACUCUCUUGUGUGUGAGCCAUAUAGUAAAUCGUAUAUAUACUUAUGCAUAUGUAGAUAAUUUUGUCAAAAUAGAUACAGCGUGUAAUCCCUGCCUUGAUAAAAUAUCCAGACGAUAAUUGUUAAACAAGUGAAAAAGCAAAGAUCGAAAAAAGAAGGAGAUUGAAAGAAUAGAAAAACCCAGCGGAAAAAAAAAACAAUUGAGAGAGGAGAGAGAUAAAUAGAGAAGUAGAAAAUUUUUCGCAAGUUUUCGAGGAAAAGCUCGAUCGUCGGAAAACCGUAACGAGAAGACGAAAUCCUGCCCGGAAAUAAAGAAGAGGAGAACAACGUCGUACACGCUAAAAGGAGUGAACGUAUAACGGAAGAAUAUUU